rnacentral:rRNA from 8 species
CGGGACUUACUUAGCUUGCUUUGUAAGUUUAGUGGCGGACGGGUGAGUAACACGUGAGCAACCUGCCCAGAAGAAAGGGAUAGCUCGAGGAAACUCGAAUUAAUACCAUAUGUGAUCCUGUGAAGCAUUUCGCAGGAAUGAAAGAUGCCUUCGGGUGUCACUUCUGGAUGGGCUCGCGGCCUAUCAGUUAGUUGGUGAGGUAACGGCUCACCAAGGCAAUGACGGGUAGCUGGUCUGAGAGGACGACCAGUCACACUGGAACUGAGACACGGUCCAGACACCUACGGGUGGCAGCAGUCGAGAAUCAUUCGCAAUGGGGGAAACCCUGACGGUGCGACGCCGCGUGGAGGAUGACGGUCUUCGGAUUGUAAACUCCUGUCAUCGAAGAGUAAGGCUUAUGUAUUAAUAGUAUGUAAGAUUGAUAGUAUUCGAAGAGGAAGGGACGGCUAACUUCGUGCCAGCAGCCGCGGUAAUACGAAGGUCCCAAGCGUUGUUCGGAAUCACUGGGCGUAAAGGGAGCGUAGGCGGUGAGGUAAGUCAGAUGUGAAAUUCCAGGGCUCAACCCUGGAACUGCAUCCGAUACUGCCUUACUAGAGUAGUGGAGGGGCAUCUGGAAUUCACGGUGUAGCAGUGAAAUGCGUAGAGAUCGUGAGGAACACUAGUGGCGAAGGCGAGAUGCUGGACACUUACUGACGCUGAGGCUCGAAGGCCAGGGUAGCGAAAGGGAUUAGAUACCCCUGUAGUCCUGGCAGUAAACGGUGCACGUUUGGUGUGAGAAGGUUCGACCCUUUUCGUGCCGGAG